UGGGUUUCAAGAUGAUAAAAUUACUGUGGAUUUAAAUGGAGUCUGGUGGAAUUUGAUGGUUGUGAUU